rnacentral:rRNA from 1 species
AUACGGAGGAUGCGAGCGUUAUCCGGAUUUAUUGGGUUUAAAGGGAGCGUAGGUGGGAUAUUAAGUCAGCUGUGAAAGUUUGGGGCUCAACCUUAAAAUUGCCGUUGAUACUGGUUUACUUGAGUAUAGUUGAAGUAGGUGGAAUGCGUGGUGUAGCGGUGAAAUGCAUAGAUAUCACGCAGAACUCCGAUUGCGAAGGCAGCUUACUAAGUUAUAACUGACACUGAAGCACGAAAGCGUGGGUAUCAAACAGGAUUAGAUACCCUGGUAGUCCACGCAGUAAACGAUGAUUACUAGCUGUUUGCGAUAUACAGUAAGCGGCCAAGCGAAAGCAUUAAGUAUUCCACCUGGGGAGUACGCCGGCAACGGUGAAACUCAAAGGAAUUGACGGGG